AACGAACGCUGGCGGCAUGCCUAACACAUGCAAGUCGAACGAGACCUUCGGGUCUAGUGGCGCACGGGUGCGUAACGCGUGGGAACCUGCCCUUAGGUUCGGAAUAACUCCCCGAAAGGGGUGCUAAUACCGGAUAAUGUCUUCGGACCAAAGAUUUAUCGCCUUUGGAUGGGCCCGCGUUGGAUUAGCUAGUUGGUAGGGUAAAAGCCUACCAAGGCGACGAUCCAUAGCUGGUCUGAGAGGAUGAUCAGCCACACUGGGAAUGAGACACGGCCCAGACUCCUACGGGAGGCAGCAGUGGGGAAUAUUGGACAAGGGGCGAAAGCCUGAUCCAGCAAUGCCGCGUGAGUGAUGAAGGCCUUAGGGUUGUAAAGCUCUUUUACCCGGGAUGAUAAUGACAGUACCGGGAGAAUAAGCUCCGGCUAACUCCGUG
rnacentral:rRNA from 1 species